UUGGCUCAGGAUGAACGCUGGCGGUAGGCAUAACACAUGUAAGUCGAGGGGCAGCAUAAUUAAAGCUUGCUUUGAUUGAUGGCGACCGGCGGAUGGGUGAGUAACGCGUAUGCAACCUGGCUUAUACAGGAGGAUAGACACUGGAAACGGUGCGUAAUACUGCGUAAUGUUAUCGGGAGGCAUCUCUUGAUAAAGAAAGAUUUCGAUUGGUAUAAGAUGGGCAUGCGUAGGAUUAGCUAGAUGGUGAGGUAACGGCUUACCAUGGCGACGAUCUUUAGGGGUUCUGAGAGGAAGGUCCCCCACAUUGCAACUGAGAACGGUGCAAACUCCUACGGGAGGCAGCAGUGGGGAAUA
rnacentral:rRNA from 1 species